UACGUAGGGGGCUAGCGUUGUCCGGAUUUAUUGGGCCUAAAGCAUCCGUAGCCGGUCCUACAAGUCUUCCGUUAAAUCCACCUGCUUAACAGAUGGGCUGCGGAAGAUACUAUAGGGCUAGGAGGCGGGAGAGGCAAGCGGUACUCAGUGGGUAGGGGUAAAAUCCUCUGAUCCAUUGAAGACCACCAGUGGCGAAGGCGGCUUGCCUGAACGCGCUCGACGGUGAGGGAUGAAAGCUGGGGGAGCAAACCGG
rnacentral:rRNA from 1 species